rnacentral:tRNA from 1 species
GGAUAUAGCUCAGUGGUAGAGCACGUGCUUAGCAUGCAUGAGGUCCUGGUUUCAAUCUCCAUUACUUCCA